GAUGAACGCUGGCGGCGUGCCUAAUACAUGCAAGUCGAGCGAACAGACGAGGAGCUUGCUCCUCUGACGUUAGCGGCGGACGGGUGAGUAACACGUGGAUAACCUACCUAUAAGACUGGGAUAACUUCGGGAUACCGGAGCUAAUUCCGGAUAAUAUAUUGAACCGCAUGGUUCAAUAGUGAAAGACGGUUUUGCUGUCACUUAUAGAUGGAUCCGCGCCGCAUUAGCUAGUUGGUAAGGUAACGGCUUACCAAGGCAACGAUGCGUAGCCGACCUGAGAGGGUGAUCGGCCACACUGGAACUGAGACACGGUCCAGACUCCUACGGGAGGCAGCAGUAGGGAAUCUUCCGCAAUGGGCGAAAGCCUGACGGAGCAACGCCGCGUGAGUGAUGAAGGUCUUCGGAUCGUAAAACUCUGUUAUUAGGGAAGAACAAAUGUGUAAGUAACUAUGCACGUCUUGACGGUACCUAAUCAGAAAGCCACGGCUAACUACGUG
rnacentral:rRNA from 1 species